rnacentral:rRNA from 1 species
UAAAAUAUUUUAUUAUAGUAAAUUUUUUUGAUUUAUAAUUUUUUUUACAUAUAUUUUUAAAAGUUUAAUUCAUUUAUUUUAAAAAAAUAAAUAAUAAAAAAAAAAUCUCAGUAAUUAAUAUUUUUAUUUAAUUUAUGUUUGAGUAAGAAAUUUAUAUUUAAAAUUGAUUAAAUUUGUGCCAGCAAUCGCGGUUAUACAAAUAAUUUAAUUAAAAUUUUUUAUAUAUUAAGUUUAUAUUAUUAAUUUUGUUUAAAGUAAUUUAACAUUUUAAGAAAAAUUAUAAAUUUUGUAAUUUUAAAAAAUUAAGUGAAAUUUUUUUUUAAAUAAUUAAAAUUAAAUUUAUUAUUAUAUAUUUAAAUAAUUUUAAUAAAAAAACUAGGAUUAGAUACCCUAUUAUUUAAAUUUUAUUUUUUUUUAUUAGGUAGUAGAAGAAAUAAUUUUAUAUUCUUAAAACUUAAAUAAUUUGGCGGUAUUUUAGACUUUUUAGAGGAAUUUGUUAUGUAAAUGAUAAUCCUCAAUUUACCUUACUUAAAUUUUUAAAAUUUGUAUAUCGUUGUCAUCAGAAUAUUUUAAAAGAAUAAAAUAAUUUUCUAAAUUUAAUUUUAAAUAAAGUUUUUAUUAAAAUAUGUCAAAUCAAGGUGCAGUUUAUAAUUAAGUUUUAAAUGAAUUACAAUAAUUUUUAUUUUUGGAAAAUAAUUUUAAAUAAUUGUUAAAAAUUGGAUUUAAAAGUAAACUAAUAUUAUAAAAAUUAGUUGAUUUUAGCUCUAAAAUAUGCACAUAUCGCCCGUCGCUCUCGUUAUUUAAGAUGAGAUAAGUCGUAACAUAGUAGAUAUAUUGGAAAAUGUAUCUAGAAAAA